rnacentral:rRNA from 1 species
UCCCCUAGUAACUGCGAGUGAAGAGGGAAAAGCUCAAAUUUAAAAUCUGGUUUCCUUAGGUUGUCCGAGUUGUAAUCUAGAGAAGUGUCAUCCGCGCCGGACCGUGUACAAGUCUCCUGGAACGGAGCGUCGUAGAGGGUGAGAAUCCCGUCUUUGACACGGACUACCGGGGCUUUGUGAUGCGCUCUCAAAGAGUCGAGUUGUUUGGGAAUGCAGCUCAAAAUGGGUGGUAAAUUCCAUCUAAAGCUAAAUAUUGGCGAGAGACCGAUAGCGAACAAGUACCGUGAGGGAAAGAUGAAAAGAACUUUGGAAAGAGAGUUAAACAGUACGUGAAAUUGCUGAAAGGGAAACGCUUGAAGUCAGUCGCGUUGGUCGAGAAUCAGCCUUGCUUUUGCAUGGCUUAUUUCACGGUUCAACGGGUCAGCAUCAAUUUUGACCAUUGGAUAAAGAUGAGAGGAAUGUGGCAUCUUUAGAUGUGUUAUAGCCUCUUGUUGCAUGCAGUGGUUGGGAUUGAGGAACUCAGCACGCCGCAAGGCCCGGGAGUAAUCCACGUUCGUGCUUAGGAUGCUGGCAUAAUGGCUUUAAUCGACCCGUCUUGAAACACGGACCAAGGAGUCUAACAUGCCUGCAAGUGUUUGGGUGUAAAACCCAUGCGCGUAAUGAAAGUGAAAGUUGAGAUCCCUGUCGUGGGGAGCAUCGACGCCCGGACCAGACCUUUUGUGACGGAUCCGCGGUAGAGCAUGUAUGUUGGGACCCGAAAGAUGGUGAACUAUGCCUGAAUAGGGUGAAGCCAGAGGAAACUCUGGUGGAGGCUCGUAGCGAUUCUGACGUGCAAAUCGAUCGUCAAAUUUGGGUAUAGGGGCGAAAGA